rnacentral:tRNA from 1 species
GCCUGCCUGGCUCAGAUGGUGGAGUAUGUGAUUCUUGAUCUUGGAGUUGUGGGUUCAAGACCCAUGUUGGGUG